AUUGAACGCUGGCGGCAGGCUUAACACAUGCAAGUCGAGCGGAGAUGAGGUGCUUGCACCUUAUCUUAGCGGCGGACGGGUGAGUAAUGCUUAGGAAUCUGCCUAUUAGUGGGGGACAACAUUCCGAAAGGAAUGCUAAUACCGCAUACGUCCUACGGGAGAAAGCAGGGGAUCUUCGGACCUUGCGCUAAUAGAUGAGCCUAAGUCGGAUUAGCUAGUUGGUGGGGUAAAGGCCUACCAAGGCGACGAUCUGUAGCGGGUCUGAGAGGAUGAUCCGCCACACUGGGACUGAAAAACGGCCCAGACUCCGACGGGAGGCAGCAGUGGGGAAUAUUGGACAAUGGGGGGAACCCUGAUCCAGCCAUGCCGCGUGUGUGAAGAAGGCCUUAUGGUUGUAAAGCACUUUAAGCGAGGAGGAGGCUACUGAGACUAAUACUCUUGGAUAGUGGACGUUACUCGCAGAAUAAGCACCGGCUAACUCUGUGCCAGCCGCCGCAGUAAAAC
rnacentral:rRNA from 1 species